GCUCCGGAACUCGGGGAAGAGCGUCCGGGAGCCGGGUCUGGGUUCCGCACUCCGUCCGCCCCGAUGGCAGAGAGUGAGAUACGGACGCCCCGGGACGAGGGGCUCAGGACCCGGCUACGGACACCUGCCUCCAUCUCCCUCCAGGAUAACACAAGUGUGAAGAGAGGGGAGAGCAGCAAAGGCUGAGCUGCGUGUGCCUGGUCCCUUCCAGACUUUCCAGAUAACUUUGCCCCACGGAGGACAAGGAAAGCCAAAAGAGAGAAGCCAGGAUUGUUAGUCUUGGAAAAUGCCUCCAUAUAGAAACAUGAGCCGGAGAAUAAAUCACUUGCCUCUCUAACCA
rnacentral:lncRNA from 10 species